AUUGAACGCUGGCGGCAGGCCUAACACAUGCAAGUCGAGCGGCAGCGGGAAAGUAGCUUGCUACUUUUGCCGGCGAGCGGCGGACGGGUGAGUAAUGCCUGGGAAAUUGCCCAGUCGAGGGGGAUAACAGUUGGAAACGACUGCUAAUACCGCAUACGCCCUACGGGGAAAGCAGGGGACCUUCGGGCCUUGCGCGAUUGGAUAUGCCCAGGUGGGAUUAGCUAGUUGGUGAGGUAAUGGCUCACCAAGGCGACGAUCCCUAGCUGGUCUGAGAGGAUGACCAGCCAAACUGGAAAUGAGACACGGUCCAGACGCCUACGGGAGGCAGCAGUGGGGAAUAUUGCACAAUGGGGGAAACCCUGAUGCAGCCAUGCCGCGUGUGUGAAGAAGGCCUUCGGGUUGUAAAGCACUUUCAGCGAGGAGGAAAGGUUGAUGCCUAAUACGUAUCAACUGUGACGUUACUCGCAGAAGAAGCACCGGCUAACUCCGUGCCAGCAGCCGCGGUAA
rnacentral:rRNA from 1 species